rnacentral:lncRNA from 1 species
UAUUCCAUCCAUCUUGAGAUUCCAGCAGGGAACAUGUAGGAGAGCGAGGUGUGUUCUUCCACCUGCCCAUAAGUGAUGACGUAUGGCUUUUCUUCUUUUCCCCCUUUAUAAGUUAUACGACGGGGGUUGUAUAGGGUCGAACGGACCAGGUCAAACGGCCGAUGCAUCUUCUUCUUUCCUCCUGGAAAAAUAUCAUCGACUGAAUAUUCAAAAAACGCCCAGGGAAGAUGGAAAACAAUGCGAAAAUAAAAACCAGAAUGAAAAAAAACUCUCCGGUCGGUUAGGAGAGCUCCCGGUGAGUUGGCAAAUGGAAAAAACAACAAUUCGCCGCUGUUGUUGUUGUUGUUGUUGUUCCAGGAACAAGGAAAAGGAGUUUUGCGGGAGUCAUUCACAACAAAAUGAGAGAAAUGAAUUUUUUUUUCUUUUCGGUACAUCCAGAAAAUAAUUUAAAAAAUAAAAUAAAAUAAAAAAUUUCGUGUGUUGGAAGCGAAACGAAUCAUCCUGUAAGAAACGAAUGAACCAACAAACGGGAAUCACGCUUUAAUUGACUGCGUGUUGUUAUUUUAUAUUAUUAUUAGAUAUAAACUAACGGACGUGUAUUUUAAAAAAAGCGAGAAACGAACACCCAAAGGUCCUUUUUUUUCAAAAAUAAAAACGCGCCAAAUGGAGAGUCUGAAGAGAUUUCUCCCAUAAGUUUGAACGAAUAAAAAUCCAAACGUGUCGCUGUCGCCUAGUUGAGAGCCCACAAAAGGAUAUUCUUUUUCUUGGAGGGGGGAACACAUAUUUUUGUUAUUUAUUUUUUUAGUGGCGACCAUUUGAGAUUUUCUCUCAAAAUAAGGAAGGAAAAGACGGACAGGUUUGGAGAGAAUUGAACUUUUUAAAAGAAAAAGUGUCGCGCGCGUUCUUCAAAAGAUAUAUAACCCAACCCAACUCAGGAAAAAAGAUGUCCAGGAAUAAGUUGUAGCGCGCCGUAUAAAUGAGUUGUAAAAAUUUUUUAAGUUUCUUCCUUGCAGAACUAUAUAUAUAUAUUUUUUCGCUCCUCUUGUAUUUUUAUGACAUUUGGGGAAUAUGUAGGAGAAGAAAUAACUGGCCGACCUUCUUCUUUUGACAAAAACACAAAGGGGCAGGUACUAUAUAUAUUGGGGGCAGCUGCUGGACACGAGACCUUCUCUCCGUCGACCUUUUUUAAACCAACCAAAAGAAGAAGAAGAAAAAAAGCCUACGAUGACCAACUGUGUGCCAAGGCUUCUUCUUCUUGUUUCCCUUCUGUUGGAAAAACUUUUUUUCCCUCUUGAAGAAUCACAGCUGCUGGACUAGGACGACGACGACAGUCAGUUUUUAAAACCCCCCGCCAUAAUAAUAGUAACCCAAUCUCCCUUGUAUACAUUUUCUCUUCUAUCGUCUUUUAGGUCUGUGGCUAUUUUGUGUGUCCAGCGGAAGUUAUUGAUUUGACUCCCUCAACCAGACUGAUGCGAUGAAGCUACAAGUUUCUUUUUUCGGCUUUUCACGUCAACCGUCUGAACCAAAAAGGACAACGGCAAACACAAGAAAAGAAAAAACCACUUGACUUUUUUCCUUUUUUUUCCUAAAAAACGGCAGCAGCUGUGUGAACUGCCAUUGGAAUCAAGAAGAAGAAAAGGAAGCGAGAAAAUUGAGGUGUCGCCAUCUCCAUUAUUAUAUACAUUUCCUUGUGUCUUUUGGCCCUUUUUUCUCACGGAAUCGAUUAUAGAGGAGCCCGGCUGCCGUGUGUACACUAUGAGCUGCUGUGCUGUGCUGUGCUGUGCUGGCCGCAGGUAUAGACACAACUAAUAAACAUUGUCGUCUCUCUCUACUAUACAACGUUCACACAACCGACCGAGUUUGGAACCUUUGAAAAGGUUGUGCGACCGUGACCUGGCCCGCAUCAUCUUCUUAAUAAUCACCGAGAGAGCAACUUUCUCGUUAUAAAUCAGGGAGGAUCUAUCUACGAUCUGCUGGCGGAUAUUGCGUCACGACAAUUCAAAUGGACACACAUUUUUCCAUAUGAAUCACGUCAGCAGCAGCAGCUACCGUGUGGUCGACAUUUUCUCUUGUGUGUGUGGACGUCACGGAUGACUUGGCUUUAGCACAUCGUCGACACACUCAGAAAGAAAAAACCGCCAUAAGAUUACGACAAGUAUAACCGCCACCGCCGUUCGUGUUGUUUUCCUUUUUUUUCAUUUUUACACGAAACCCGCAGGUGAUGACGCGGUCGGCCGAGCGCGACAUCGGCCGUCAACAUUUUCUUUUUAUUUCUAAAUUGUUUUUCUUUUUCUUAUAUGCGGGGGAAAUAGAUAUAUAUCCAAUCGUGUCCUCAUUUCCUUUUGGGUUAACCCCCAUUGAAAGAAAAAAGAAUUUGAUUAUGUACCGAUAUCUAUUUAGGCCUAGCGGUCGUUUUCCUUCUUAUUUUGUGGAAUCAAGACUCACGAACGGAAUGAAAAAACCGGAAUUUUUUUGAAUUUGAAAUAAAAUUUACGAGACAUGGACACCCCCAA